CCCCUAUCCUCAGUUGCCAUCAUUAAGUUGGGCACUCUGUGGAGGACUGCCCGGUGGUCAAACCGGAGGAAGGUGGGGAUGACGUCAAGUCCUCAUGGCCCUUAUGACCAGGGCUACACACGUGCUACAAUGGCCGGUACAAGAGUUGCGAUACCGUGAGGUGGAGCCAAUCUCAUAAAGCCGGUCUCAGUUCGGAUUGGAGUCUGCAACUCGACUCCAUGAAGUUGGAAUCGCUAGUAAUCGCGGAUCAGCAUGCCGCGGUGAAUACGUUCCCGGGCCUU
rnacentral:rRNA from 1 species